rnacentral:rRNA from 1 species
AUUGAACGCUGGCGGCAGGCUUAACACAUGCAAGUCGAACGGUAACAGGAGAAAGCUUGCUUUCUUGCUGACGAGUGGCGGACGGGUGAGUAAUGCUUGGGAAUCUGGCUUAUGGAGGGGGAUAACUACUGGAAACGGUAGCUAAUACCGCAUAAGGUCUAAGGACAAAAGGGGGCGUAAGCUCUUGCCAUAAGAUGAGCCCAAGUGGGAUUAGGUAGUUGGUGAGGUAAUGGCUCACCAAGCCUGCGAUCUCUAGCUGGUCUGAGAGGAUGACCAGCCACACCGGGACUGAGACACGGCCCGGACUCCUACGGGAGGCAGCAGUGGGGAAUAUUGCGCAAUGGGGGGAACCCUGACGCAGCCAUGCCGCGUGAAUGAAGAAGGCCUUCGGGUUGUAAAGUUCUUUCGGUGAUGAGGAAGGUGAUAAGGUUAAUACCCUUAUUAAUUGACGUUAGUCACAGAAGAAGCACCGGCUAACUCCGU